AUGAGAUACCGAUAUCUCGAGCUUCCACACCCAUCAACGAUGGCGUCUUCGACCUUCAAACCCUUGCAGUCCUUGGCAUUGCUCCUCCUCCUUGCGCAGCUCACCCACUCGGCCUUCAUUCCGAAGCCCAAGAACAGCACCGAGCAGCUGUCGAACACCUACAUCGUCCACGCCAACCACCUCCUCAAGCCGUCCCGCUUUGUCACCCUCGAGCACUGGUACAUCUCCAUGGUGGCUACGCACUCUCCUCGCGCCACCACCAACGGAACCCUCGCCGCAGCCGGCCGCAUCCUGUACACCUACGACACCGUCAUGCACGGCUUCGCGGUGCGCCUCGCCGCUGACGAGGCCCGGCGCAUGUCCCGCGUCCCUGGAGUGACCGCCGUGCGUGAGGGCAGGAUGUACUACCCGCAGACCACGAGGUCGCCGGGGUUCAUCGGCCUCGACCCGGAGUACGGCCUGUGGAGCGACACGGACUUCGGCGACGGCGUCAUCAUCGGCGUCAUUGACUCCGGCAUCUGGCCGGAGAGCCCGAGCUUCAACGACAGUGGCCUCGGCCCCGUCCGGCGUAGCUGGAAGGGCGGCUGCGUUGGGCUCGACUCCAGCCUGUGCAAAAACAAGCUCGUCGGCGCCAAGGACUUCUCCGUCGCACGUGGCGUCGACGGCCGCCGGCUCUGAGGUUGACGGCGCCGGCCUCUUCAUGUUCGCGCGCGGGACGGCGAGGGGGGUGGCGCCUAAGACAAGGAUCGCCAUGUACAAGUGCGGCGGGGCCGCCGGCGGCCACAUGGGCUUCAGCGACGCGGCCAUUAUCGCGGGGAUCGACGCCGCGGUGAGAGAUGGCGUGGACAUUAUCUCCCUCUCCCUCGGCUGCUACCCGGUCCCGUUCUACAUCGACAGCCUCGCGAUCGCCACGUUUGGCGCCCAGCGCGAGGGCGUGUUCGUCGUCCUCGCCAGCGGCAACAGAGGCCCACGGCCAUACACCGUGUGCAACGUGGCGCCGUGGAUGACCACCGUCGGCGCCGGCGCCGUGGACCGGCUUUUCCCGGCGAACCUCACGCUCGGCAGCGGGGAGGUCCUCAUCGGGCAGUCCCUCUACGCCAUGAAGGCCACGCGCACCGCCAUGACACCACUCGUGUUGCUCCGCACCUGCGAUGAGGAGACCAUCUCGCCCGACGUCGUCAUGGGCAAGGUUGUCGUGUGCCUGCGACUCGGCGGUGUCUAUGCGGGCAUGCUGCUGCAGGACGCCGGUGGAGCAGGCCUAGUCGCCGUGGACGGUGACGAAUGGCACGGCGACGGAGUGGUAUCCAAAGCCUUCACCCUCCCGGGUCUCACUCUCAGCUACUCCAAGGCCGAGAAGCUCAGGGACUACAUGGAGUCGAUGGCGAACCCGGUGGCGUCGUUCGGCUUCGCCUGCGAGACGGUCACCGGCGAGAACCGGGCACCGACGGCGGUGGGCUUCUCGUCGCGGGGGCCCAACUCCGUCGUCCCGGAGCUCCUCAAGCCCGACGUUCUCGCGCCGGGACUGAACAUUCUUGCAGCAUGGCCGAGCGACUUCCCCGUGUCAAUGUAUGACCGGGACACGAGGAGAUCCAACUACAACAUCAUGUCGGGGACAUCCAUGGCGUGCCCGCACGCCGCCGGCGUGGCGGCGCUGAUCAAGAAGAGGCACGGAGACUGGACGCCGGCCAUGAUACGCUCCGCGAUGAUGCCACCGCGGCCACGCUCGAUAACAGAUGCCGCGACAUCACCGACCAGGGCGUCGAACAAGCCGUCGCCAACGCCACCUUCACGAGCGCGACGCCGCUGGCGGCAGGAGCAGGUCACGUCCGCCCGCAGCUCGCCGUGGACCCGGGACUCGUCUACGACGCCGGCGUGAAGGACUACGUCGCCUUCCUCUGCAGCCUCAACUACACCGUCGAGCAGCUCCGCGUGUUCGUCCCCGACACGGCCGGGUGCACGACGACGCUUCCCGGCGGCCCAGCCGACCUCAACUACCCGUCGUUCGUCGUCGCCUUCAACGGCAGCACCCACGUCCGCACGCUGACACGGACGGUGACAAAGGUGUACGAGAAGCCAGAGACGUACAGCGUGUCCGUGUUGGCGCCGGCCGGCGUGAAGGUGACCGUGAAGCCGGCGACACUGGAGUUCAAGGAGAAGAACGAGAAGAAGAGCUACACGGUGGAGUUCAGGAGCGUGAAGAGAGGACACGCGAAAUCUCAGAGCUGGGAUUUCGGACACAUCUCGUGGGAGAAUCGGAAGCAUCAGGUAAGGAGCCCUGUGGUGUUCAUGUGGAACUAA